UACGUAGGGGGCCAGCGUUGCUCGGAAUUACUGGGCGUAAAGGGUCUGUAGGCGGUGCGGCAAGUCGGAAGUGAAAUCGCAGGGCUUAACUCUGCGGCUGCUUCCGAAACUGCCGUGCUCGAGUGUGAGAUAGGCGAGUGGAAUUGCAGGUGUAGCGGUGAAAUGCGUAGAUAUCUGCAGGAACAUCCGAGGCGAAAGCGGCUCGCUGGAUCACAACUGACGCUGAGAGACGAAAGCUAGGGGAGCAAACAGG
rnacentral:rRNA from 1 species